UCUUCAUUCUGCCACGUAGCAUCUUCCACCAGCAAGAAAAGCUGAGGCUCCUUGGAAUUCAAAGCGUUGAGAAGUGGACGUGAUGCAGAAUGUUCUGUUUUUGUUUCUCAAGAAUGCUGCUGCUGCUGGAGUGUCUGUGGUGCUGCCUGUCCCGGCCUGGGGGAGAGCUGGACCAGUGGCCUCCGUCAUGCUCUGCUCUCAGCAGUUGAACUGAAGUAACACCACUAAAAUCUACACGGAACUUCAGAAGUGGAAAUGGAUCUCCUUGUGGGUACGAGGAAUAAAGAUGGAGAGAUGGCACCGUUAGUGGUAAAUUCUUCCUGGGGAAACAGCUCAGCAGAAAUGGGGAUCAAUUCUGGAAUGGGAGCACGCUCUGUCCUGCAGGCCUCGUAGCCCUGAGCGGCCUCUCACUUGCUGUGGAAGGAAGCAUU